rnacentral:rRNA from 1 species
UUGAAAGGGAAACGAUUGAAGUCAGUCAUGCUGGUGGGAAUCAACUUAGGGGAAACUCUAGGUGCACUUCUUCGCUUGGCAGGUUAACGUCGAUCUUGAAUGCCAUAAAAUAAUUGGGGGAAGGUAGCUCCUUCGGGAGUGUUAUAGCCCUUGAUAGAUGUGAUGUUUGGGGUCGAGGAUUGCAACGAAUACCCUUUGGGGCUAGCCGCCUGAUCUCUAAUCGGUGUUGGGUUACGGAUAGCAUGCUGACCGUGAUCUAAUUACUGGUUAAAAGGUUAGAGCGUGCAUAAAUUCGUUAAGGAUGUUGACGUA